UGUGAUGGAUAUUAUUUAAUUUUUUUUUAAAAACAAUAUAACAAAAGUAUUUUUUUCUUAGUUUUAUUAAAAGAUUUCUUUAAUUAUAGUAAAUUAGUAUUGUGAUAGAAUUGUUUUUAUAUAUUUAUAAGAAGAAUUAAUUUUUUGUACCUUGUGUAUCAGGGUUAAUUAAAUAUAAUUUAUAGAUAUUAAAUUUCUCGAAUCUUAAAGAGUUAAUUUUAUAUUAAUUUUAUUGUUAAAUAAAUAUUUUUAAUAUAAUUUUAGAAAUGAGACGUUAUUCGUUUUUUGAUAUAUCUAGUUUUUCAGGAAAUAAAUUCAAUUUAUUUGGCUUAUAAUUUAUAUAAUUAAUAAUUUUAAAUUAGUGGUCAUUUUAUAUGUAUUGGGAUAAGCUAGUACUUAUAUUUUUAUAAUUUUAUUUUAAUUUAAUGAUUUUGUAGUAUUGAAAAUUUUCAUCUUUAGUUUGUAAAAAUUAUUUUAUUUUUAAUAUAAUAUUUUCUUUUGUUUAAUUUUUUUACUGAAAUUAAAUUUUUAAUUUUUAAUAAUUUUAAAUAAUGAUUAAAUUAGUAUAUUUUAUGUUUAUUAAUUUUUAAAUUUAAAUUUCAAAAAAGGAACUCGGCAAAUUUUAAUUUCGCCUGUUUAUUAAAAACAUGUCCUUUUGAUUUUAAUAUAAGGUCUAAUCUGCCCGAUGAGAAUUUCAAUGGCCGCGGUAUUUUGACCGUGCAAAGGUAGCAUAAUAAUUAGUUUUUUAAAUGAGAACUUGUAUGAAGGAUUGGACGAGAAUUAAGCUGUCUCUUUUGUAUUUAUAAAAUUUUAUUUUUAAGUCAAAAAGCUUAAAUUUUUUAAAAAGACGAGAAGACCCUAUAGAUUUUAAUAUUUGCUUUUUGAUGUUUAUUUUAGUAUUUUAUUUAGUUUAGAAGUUUUAUUUGGUUGGGGUGACUUAAGAAUUUAAUUAACUUCUUUUUUUUUCUACACUUAUAAGUGAUUUUUUGAUCCAAAUUUUUUGAUUAAAAGAUUAAAUUACCUUAGGGAUAACAGCGUUAUUUUUUUCUUAAGUUCAUAUUAGGAUAAAAGUUUGCGACCUCGAUGUUGGAUUAAAAUUAAUUUUUGGCGCAGAAGUUAAAAAAUUAAGUCUGUUCGACUUUUAAAAUUUUACAUGAUCUGAGUUUAGACCGGCGUGAGCCAGGUUGGUUUCUAUCUUUUAUAAUUUUAGAUUUGUUAGUACGAAAGGACCAUAGAU
rnacentral:rRNA from 1 species